rnacentral:tRNA from 2 species
GCACCUAUAGCGCAACUGGAUAGAGCGUCUGACUUCGAAUCAGAAGGCUGCGGGUUCGACUCCUGCUAGGUGCA